rnacentral:lncRNA from 1 species
GAGGAUUGGAAGUCUCGAUCACAGCCACUGGAGGGACCGGUUACUGGGACCCUAACGAGGUACCGCCCCUGAGAGAGUGUGGGGGAUUGGAGUGAAGGGGCAAAUUCUUGCCUGGGAAGGGCUGCUGGUCCCAGGGUUACGGGCUAGACGAGGCAACUUCUGUCUUCUAGUGGUAAAUAGGAGCUUUCUGCUGUGUCCUGGAUCUUAACCCUCCUGUCCAGUCUAGCUCCCCAAUUCUACCUCCCCCUCCCAGAACUCCCCUGCAGCCUCGGAGACCCGGAACCUGGUUUUGUUACAUGGAUUUGAUGUCUUUAUAUUUAUUUUUUUUUUUUAGUUUGUAUCUUUGUUUGUAUGUGGUGCUGAGGAUCGAACCCAGGCCGCACGCAUGCCAGGCGAGCAAGCUACCGCUUGAGCCACAUCCCCAGCCCGGAUUCGAUGUCUUAAUCAAAGCUUUUGUCUCUGUCCUGCAUUACUUUUUGUCCUUACCAAAAAGCAAUGUCUAAAGAUAGACAUGAUGUAUCAUCCUCUUUGUUAAGUAAAAAUGUGUAAGUUGCCCUGUGUGGUAUCAAAUAAAACAAAACUGUCUUUUGCCUGUCACCAAGCGGGCUGUACUGGGCAUGCUUCUCCCCACUGCCAUCUGAUGUCUGUUAAGGAAAUUAAAACAUAUUCUUGUUGCAUCCUGAGUCUAACUGAACAGAACAAACAUGCACAUUUGUGUUCUAAAAAGGUCACAUGACUUUAUACAGAGCAAAGAAAAAAAUUUUUCUUCUAGGAUGAAUUAACAUGAGCUGUCCCUCUGAAAAUAGGAACAGAGGAGGCGAAGGAUUGGGCAGGAACUCCUGUUUUUAAUUUUAACCCUUUUUAUAAUGCUGGAUUUCUUCAUCUUCCUUUUAUUUGCUGUUGCUGGGGAUGGAACCCAGGACCUAGGGCCUCAGAUAUGCUUGGUAAGGGCUCUACCACUAAGCUACAUCCUAGCUUAGUGCUUGAUCCUUUUAAACUAUAUAUGUUUUUUUGUUUUGUUUUGUUUUGGUACCAAAGAUUGAAGCCAGGGGUACUUAACCACUGAGCCACAUUCCCAGCCCUUUUUUAUUUUUUUAUUUUGAGACAGGGUCUUGCUAAGUUGCCUAGGGCCUUGCCAAGUUGCUGAAGCUGACUUGGAAUCCUCCUGCUUCAGAAGCCUUCUGAGUUUUUAGGGUUACAGGUAUACAUCACAGCUCCUGCAAAAAACAGUUUUGUGAGAAAUUUCUGGAUCUUAGAGCUGAUAAUCCACAUGGAGAAUCAGAGAUUGAAAGAGAUCCUAAAAAUGUCACAGUCUGGGUUGGAGAUGUAGAUCGCUGUGAUAGAGCACUUGCCUAGCAUCUAUGAGCCCUGGGUUCAAUCCCCAGCACUCCAAAAAAAAAAAAAAAAAAAGAAAUCACAAUCUUAGGAAUUGAAUGACCCUUUGCACAGUAUUUAGACAUCUUCUAGCAUGGAACUCCUCCUUCUUAGAUGGUGAACAGUUUGUAGGGUGUACUUACCUUACCUCUAAGAAGGUUUCAGUUCCUAAAAAAGCUUCAUGGCCAGCAGAGAUCAUAAAUAUUUAAGACCAACACUGAUAUUUA